CUGGCAGGUUCACCAGUUUCUCUCCUCCAGCUGUGCACUGUGAAUGGGCUGUGGAUCACCGCUUCUUGGGUGGGAGCUAGGCAAUCUCUAGGCUAUAGCCACCUUGGCACCAGAGAGGUUGAAAUCUAGUUUACAGGGAUGCAGGGAAUGUGACCUGGGGUCUGGGGGUUGCUUUUGAAUCUGUGCCAAGUGCCUUCCUGGAUCAUCUCCUUAUAGUGCCUCCAUGCCACCUUCAAGGUUGGUGCUGGUCCCAGUUUCUACACUGCAGCAGAGGAGAAGACCAAGGCUCCCAGGAAUGAAGGAAUUGUCCCACUCCGGGAUACAUGCCAGACUGUCCAUCUUGGGUCCUCGACUUCUCUGGCCCUUGCCCUGGGACCUGUG
rnacentral:lncRNA from 1 species